rnacentral:rRNA from 1 species
UACAGAGGUCCCAAGCGUUGUUCGGAUUCACUGGGCGUAAAGCGUGCGCAGGCGGUUUUGUAAGCCAGAUGUGAAAUCCCCGGGCUCAACCUGGGAAUGGCAUUUGGGACUGCAAGGCUGGAGUUUGGCAGAGGAGACUGGAAUUCCUGGUGUAGCAGUGAAAUGCGUAGAUAUCAGGAGGAAUACCGAUGGCGAAGGCAGGUCUCUGGGCUAUAACUGACGCUCAUGCACGAAAGCGUGGGGAGCAAACAGG